rnacentral:rRNA from 1 species
AAGCAUAUCAAUAAGCGGAGGAAAAGAAACCAACAGGGAUUGCCCUAGUAACGGCGAGUGAAGCGGCAACAGCUCAAAUUUGAAAUCUGGCCCUCUCAGGGUCCGAGUUGUAAUUUGCAGAGGGUGCUUUGGCGAUGGCUGUGGUCUAAGUUCCUUGGAACAGGACGUCACAGAGGGUGAGAAUCCCGUACGUGGCCGCCAGCCUCCGCCGUGUAAAGCCCCUUCGACGAGUCGAGUUGUUUGGGAAUGCAGCUCUAAAUGGGAGGUAAAUUCCUUCUAAAGCUAAAUACUGGCCAGAGACCGAUAGCGCACAAGUAGAGUGAUCGAAAGAUGAAAAGCACUUUGGAAAGAGAGUCAAAAAGCACGUGAAAUUGUUGAAAGGGAAGCGCUUGCAGCCAGACAUGCCUGUAGUUGCUCACCGGGGCUCUUGCCCUGGGCACUCUUCUACGGGCAGGCCAGCAUCAGUCCGGGCGGUUGGAUAAAUGCCUGCUACAUGUACCUCUCUUCGGGGAGGACUUAUAGGGUAGGCGACAUACAGCCAGCCUGGACUGAGGUCCGCGCAUCUGCUAGGAUGCUGGCGUAAUGGCUGUAAGCGGCCCGUCUUGAAACACGGACCAAGGAGUCUAACAUCUAUGCGAGUGUUUGGGUGUAAAGCCCGAGCGCGGAAUGAAAGUGAACGGAGGUGGGAACCCCUCGGGGUGCACCAUCGACCGAUCCUGAUGUCUUCGGAUGGAUUUGAGUAUGAGCAUAGCUGUUGGGACCCGAAAGAUGGUGAACUAUGCCUGAAUAGGGUGAAGCCAGAGGAAACUCUGGUGGAGGCUCGCAGCGGUUCUGACGUGCAAAUCGAUCGUCAAAUUUGGGCAUAGGGGCGAAAGACUAAUCGAACCAUCUAGUAGCUGGUUCCUGCCGA